GCUGGGCAUGAUGGCACACGCCUGUAAUCCCAGUGGCUCGGGAAGCUGAGGCAGGAGAAUCGUGAGUUCAAAGCCAGCCUCAGCUUAAGCAAGGUGCUAAGCAACUCAGUGAGACCCUGUCUCUA
rnacentral:sRNA from 1 species